ACGACUAUCAAUCCCAUUUGGAUUGAGAUUAGGAAAUUAUAUUGUCCAUCAAAGGUUAAAAUUUUCAUUUGGCGCACACUGCAUGGCAGUCCUCCCAUGUAGAGUUAAUUUGGUGAUAGACAUAUAAAGGUUACCCCCAAUUGUCCGGCAUGUUCCUUUGGAUCAGAGGAUACAAAGCAUAUAUUAUUUCAGUGUCAGAAAGCAAAGGAGGUUUGGAAAAAACUGGGUCUAUAUCAGGUCAUUAAAAGAGCGUGCGAUGUUGAUUAUGCUGGUGAAGCGGUGCUUAAAUAUUUGCUUUAUAUGCCUGAACAAGAGCUUACGAUCUUGGGUAUUCGGAAUGUCUGUGAAUUAAUUGCAAUUUCAACUUGGUAUUUAUGGUGGGAGAGG
rnacentral:rRNA from 1 species